rnacentral:rRNA from 1 species
GACGAACGCUGGCGGCGUGCUUAACACAUGCAAGUCGAACGGAAAGGCCCUGCUUGCAGGGUACUCGAGUGGCGAACGGGUGAGUAACACGUGGGUGAUCUGCCCUGCACUUCGGGAUAAGCCUGGGAAACUGGGUCUAAUACCGGAUAGGAGCCAUUUUUAGUGUGAUGGUUGGAAAGUUUUUUCGGUGUAGGAUGAGCUCGCGUCCUAUCAGCUUGUUGGUGGGGUAAUGGCCUACCAAGGCGGCGACGGGUAGCCGGCCUGGGAGGGUGGAAGGCCACAUUGGGACUGAGAUACGGCCCAGAGUCCUACGGGAGGCAGCAGUGGGGAAUAUUGCACAAUGGGCGCAAGACUGAUGCAGCGACGCCGCGUGGGGGAUGACGGCCUUCGGGUUGUAAACUCCUUUCGCUAGGGACGAAGCUUUUGUGACGGUACCUAGAUAAGAAGCACCGGCUAACUACGUG